GCCCAGCAGCGCCGCUCCGUGCACAGAACUCAGCGCCCCCUGACAGCAAAACAACCCGAUUUUAAGUCAUUUUUAAAUCAACUUUAACCUCAUUAUUUCAGGCCUGAAAACUGAGAAACUGCAGGAGCUGCAGCGGGGGAAAGUUGCCUGUGUUCCCCGGGCAGAGGGAGCUGAGAGACGGCCAGGCGGUGCAGCUGGUUGCCGGUGCAGCAGAUGAAGAAGGGAUUAGAGAGUGUACACAAACAGGUGGGGGACAUCUUGAAAAGGCCCCUCCCCUGUGUUGCUGUGAUUGGCUGUCUUUGCUCGGCCAUUGCAGGAGCCGUUUCGUCCAAUGGGAAGGAAGGGGCUGGUCUCCGAGGUGAUGACGAUGCUCGGGAUUCGACCAAUCGUGCCUCUCCUCACGUGUACCUCCGCCACUUCCGUCUAUUAGACAGAAAAAUACAGUAUGUAAGAGGCGAUUACCUUUUCGAAGAUGCCCGAGUCGUGGUUCUUAAUCUUGGACUUGAAGCUGGCGGAGGGUUUGAAGUCGGGGAGCUCGGCGGUGUCUCUGCUAAUGUCACAGGAGACCUGGCGGCUGGCGGGUCGCGACCCCAUACUGGACCCAUCGGCCUCGAUGUCUGUCAGACCCUGCAGGAAAAAAAGCGUGAAUGCGAUUUACAGAAGAAGAAAGCUAACAGUAGGCUACUAAUGAACUACAUCCAGCUUCACGAUACCUAAAGGACUCAUUCCUGCAGCUCUAUGUUGGAAACUCUACUAAUGCUAUGACGUCACGGCUCAUGUGGAUCACAGCUCACCGAUUCGCUGUCGGAGGCGGAGGAGAGGCGGGUCGUCCGGUAGCUCUGCUGCCUCGUGUGGCUGCUGAUGUCGGAGGUCUGGCUGGUGACGGUGGAGCGGCGCGUCGACACGAAGCUGCUGCUGGCGGAGCGGAGGUCGCGAGGAUGAACGCAGAGCAGCAUGCCGAGAAACGGGAUGUACUUGGCUAACGCUAUCCUGCACAGAGCAAGAAGAAAAAGAUGGUUUUCUUUA